AAACCAGCACCUCAAGUGGUCAGGAUGAUUAUUGGGCCUAAAGCAUCCGUAGCCGGCUCUGUAAGUUUUCGGUUAAAUCUGUACGCUUAACGUACAGGCCGCCGGGAAUACUGCAGAGCUAGGGAGUGGGAGAGGUAGACGGUACUCGGGAGGAAGUGGUAAAAUGCUUUGAUCUCUCGAUGACCACCUGUGGCGAAGGCGGUCUACCAGAACAUGUCCGACGGUGAGGGAUGAAAGCUGGGGGAGCAAACCGGAUUAGAAACCCCAGUAGUCC
rnacentral:rRNA from 1 species